rnacentral:rRNA from 1 species
UACGUAGGAUGCUAGCGUUGUCCGGAUUUACUGGGCGUAAAGAGCGCGCAGGCGGUCGUUCAAGUCGCGUGUGAAAGCCCCCGGCUCAACUGGGGAGGGUCACGCGAUACUGAUCGACUCGAAGGCAGGAGAGGGAAGUGGAAUUCCCGGUGUAGUGGUGAAAUGCGUAGAUAUCGGGAGGAACACCAGUGGCGAAGGCGACUUCCUGGCCUGUUCUUGACGCUGAGGCGCGAAAGCUAGGGGAGCAAACGGG